ACAACACGGAACACAGCUAUUAAUCAAUGCUUGCGCUCUUACAGCGCUGAAGACCGUGUGGCUAGCUAGCAGAUUACUUGACCACUGACUAGACUAUGCACAAAUAUGGAUGGCACAGGUUAGAACUGAAAAGGAAUAGGCUACUCAAAUACAUUCUUGAAAAGCUAUUUCAUUGGGGGGCACCAGGACCCAGGUCAAACCAACACUGCCUCUUUCCCCAGGCAGGCAGGCCGGCCAGGUGGGAAGAAAUAUAACAGACCGGAAAGAGUUCAAGACUACCGUGGGUCCCCAUAACACGAAGGAGUCUGAACCUCGUGUUGCAAUAAGAAAAUACAACAGUCUGACUACCGUUUGUACAGUACACAUCUGAUGAAGUGAACCCAUAAACUAGUUUCCACUGUUCAGUGGGACGCUCAGACUGAUCCAGCUACUGUAGAUGAACAACAGCAGGCCAGCCAGGAGGUGGACGUGCAAAGGAUGUUUUCCACACCCGUGCAAACAAUAACACACGGACCAGACUACUCAUUCACUUCAACAAGACUGAUACAGCUAGCUAUUGAUGUUUAACUGCAGGUCAAAUCAAAUAUUAUUGUAGGUGCUGUCACGUUCUGACCUUAGUUCUUUUGUUAUGUCUUUGUUUUUGUACGGUCAGGGUGUGAGUUGG